rnacentral:rRNA from 1 species
UACGUAGGUGGCAAGCGUUGUCCGGAAUUAUUGGGCGUAAAGCGCGCGCAGGCGGCCUCUUAAGUCUGAUGUGAAAUCUUGCGGCUCAACCGCAAGCGGCCAUUGGAAACUGGGGGGCUUGAGUACAGAAGAGGAGAGUGGAAUUCCACGUGUAGCGGUGAAAUGCGUAGAUAUGUGGAGGAACACCAGUGGCGAAGGCGACUCUCUGGUCUGUAACUGACGCUGAGGCGCGAAAGCGUGGGGAGCAAACCGG